rnacentral:misc_RNA from 1 species
UGCCCAAGUUCCUGGCCUUCCUCGCUGCCGCGCCGGUGGCCGCUCUCAGCGGCGCGCUCGCUUUCUACAAAUACAACGACAAGCCCUUCAUCAACCUGGUCGAAUCCUUCUUCAAUUACACGCUCACCAACAAGCUCUAUGUUUGGAAGAAGUCCGAUAAGGAGCCUCAAGCCGGCGCAAGCCAGGGCAAGCCCUUGGAGCAGGUGUACGUGCCCAAGCUCUCGGAAUCCAAGCUCAAGGACCUCUCCUGGAGCCUCGACAUCAAGGAAGCCGGCAAUCCGGUGACGGAAGAGAAGGGAGAUGCCUCAAUUUAACGGUUCCCGAUACGGAUCCUUGCCGC